UGGGGAAUAUUGCACAAUGGGCGAAAGCCUGAUGCAGCAACGCCGCGUGAGUGAUGAAGGCCUUCGGGUUGUAAAGCUCUGUCUUUUGGGACGAUAAUGACGGUACCAAAGGAGGAAGCCACGGCUAACUACGUGCCAGCAGCCGCGGUAAUACGUAGGUGGCAAGCGUUGUCCGGAUUUACUGGGCGUAAAGGAUGCGUAGGCGGAUUUUUAAGUGAGAUGUGAAAAUACCCGGGCUUAACUUGGGUGCUGCAUUUCAAACUGGGAAUCUAGAGUGCGGGAGAGGAGAAUGGAAUUCCUAGUGUAGCGGUGAAAAUGCGUAGAGAUUAGGAAGAAACACCAGUGGCGAAGGCGAAUUCUCUGGACCGUAACUGACGCUGAGGCAUG
rnacentral:rRNA from 1 species